rnacentral:rRNA from 1 species
GACGAACGCUGGCGGCGUGCUUAACACAUGCAAGUCGUACGGUAAGGCCCUUUCGGGGGUACACGAGCGGCGAACGGGUGAGUAACACGUGGGUAACCUGCCCUCAGCUUUGGGAUAACCCUGGGAAACUGGUUCUAAUACUGGAUAUGUCCUUCUCCCGCAUGGUGGUUGUUGGAAAGCUUCGGCGGUUGUGGAUGGACUCGCGGCCUAUCAGCUUGUUGGUGGGGUGGUGGCCUACCAAGGCGGCGACGGGUAGCCGGCCUGAGAGGGUGACCGGCCACAGUGGGACGGAGAUACGGCCCAGACUCCUACGGGAGGCAGCAGGGGGGAAUAGUGCACAAGGGGCGCAAGCCGGAUGCAGCAACGCCGCGGGCGGGAUGACGGCCUUCGGGUUGGAAACCGAGUUCAGCAGGGACGAAGCGUUUUGUGACGGUACCUGCAGAAGAAGCACCGGCUAACUACGUG